AACAACCCUCAAACUGCCGGGGAACUCCUAAAGCCCUCGCUCCGGACGGCGCUGGGAAACCAGGGUCCGCUCACCAGGUUAACAACCUCGGGCAUCGGAAGCAACGCGGGGGAUGCUACAAUGGACGAUCCGCAGCCAAGCCCCUACGUGCGACAGCAUACGGGGAAGGUUCAGAGACUUGACGGGGGUGGGUCGGGGACGCAUGUCGGGACCCUGAAGGCGCUGGAACACCGGCACGAGCCGCCUACAUCGUCCACCGGCUUGAGGUAAAGUCCGUUGUCGCCAAAAGCGCGCCCCAUGCGAUGGAUCAUCGCUCGGCAACCGCAACGGGACUGCGGCUUAAUUUGACUCAACACGGGGAAACUCACCAGGUCCAGACACAAUGAGGAUUGACAGAUUGAGAGCUCUUUCUUGAUUUUGUGGGUGGUGGUGCAUGGCCGUUCUUAGUUGGUGGAGUGAUUUGUCUGCUUAAUUGCGAUAACGAACGAAACCUUAACCUGCUAAAUAGCCCGUAUUGCGCAGGCGAGUACGCCGGCUUCUUAGAGGGACUAUCGGCUCAA
rnacentral:rRNA from 1 species